GGUGGGGUGGCUGAGCUUGGUUUAAGGCGCCACACUCGAAAUGUGGUAUGCUCGAAAGAGCAUCGUGAGUUCAAAUCUCACCCCCACCG
rfam:Parcubacteria group bacterium CG1_02_42_13 cg1_0.2_scaffold_2133_c, whole genome shotgun sequence.